rnacentral:lncRNA from 1 species
UUAAAUUUCAAUGUCGUAUUAUUACAUUUUGUAAGAUUUUUAUUUUCAGCCGUUGAUUUUGAGCCUCUUCGUUCACUAGGCAAAUGAUAUCGUAAAAUCAUAAAAUUUAUUUUCUAGGUACUUCAAAUACUCUAGAUCAAGUUUAACGGAGCCGAUCGACGAUUCGAAAGUCGCAACAUCGAAAACGAGCUGGAAGCACGGAAGGCUCCAUGCUUCCGAUAGCAUAGUAGCCUCACUAUAUAUAUAUAUAUAUAUAUAUGCGUUAUUUUUUAUUUAUUUUUUACUAUUAUUCAAAAUUUUUAAAUUAUCCAAAUAUUCUUCUGAGCCUCAAUUCAUAUUAGCAAAUAAAAUUAGAUCAAUUAGUGAUUAAUAAUAAAAUUUAUUAAAUUUGAUAAAAUUCUUAAUAAAACUAAGUAUAAAAAUCAAGAUUUAAGUGUCGUGGUACAUGAUCGUGCAGGAAACUAGCCGGCAUGAUGUAUGCCGAGCCGUACAGGUCACAAAAAAUAUAUGUGCGUCGACACGUAAUGGUAUGAAAUAUUUAUUUUCUUUAGCAACAAAAUAUGACAACUAUAUAUUAUAUAUUUUUAUCAAAUCUUUUAACUUUUAUUAAGAAAAUUACUUACAAUUUUAAGAAUAUAGGGUUUUGAAUUGUGCCAUCGGUACGAGAGCUGUAUCGUACCGAUAUUUUGCUUGCACGAUAUGGUACGAUAAAUACAACCCCUACCGAUUGACACUUUAAUCCUUCGAAAAAACUAGUUAAUUAAAAAAAAAAAGAGAAGUCGAAAAGAUUCUAUAAUAAAAUUUGAGGGUCUAUUUCGUAAUCGCCUACGGUUGAGGGACUCUUCAAGCCAAAACAAGAUUUUGAGUUUGAAAAUCAAAGUAGAAAUUGUUACUUCAUGUUUUCUUUUUUUGUUUUUUUUUUCUUUUUUGAGAGAAAUAAAUAGCACGCUACCCAUUUCGUUUCGUUUAUUUCAUUUAGAAAUAAACUUAGCUGGAAAUGUAAAUCAAUUAGGAUUCGAAAUUGCGUUUCGGGUACCAACCACCAAGUCCUUUGCCACUUGCUCUAGAGUCGGUCGGUGUUACUUCAUGUUUUUUAUUCAAAUCUACAGAAGAAUUAUUUCGAACGAUAUAAAGUAAACAAUGUCUUUGAGCUCUUCGAACUUUUAUUAUUUAGGGUUCUAAACUCUGGGACAUGAGACUAAUGACUCCAAUAUCACGUGACCUGAAAGAUCAAUCAUAUAUAAUACAAUCCAAAAAUUGUCGUAAUAAUAGAAUUAAUUAUCCUACCAAGUUACUAGCACAAGUAGCAAAGGACUUGGUAGUUGCUAUCUGAGAUCUCAAGUUCGAAUUCUAGUUGAUUCAUAUUUUCAACUAAGUUUAUUUCUAAAAGAAAUAAAUGAAGCGGGUACUAUACUACCUUUCUCUCUCUCAAAAAAAAAAAAAAAGAAUUAAUUUUCCUAAUUCUCGAUUACAUGACUCUUUAACUUUCACCUAAAUUUUCUGCAACUUGGGCUUGUGGGGAUCCAGAAUAAGCUCAUGGAAUUGGUGUUGAUGAAUGAAAAUAGAAUAGCCCAUGUUAUACCUACAUGGGCUAAAAGACUCAGGUCUGAUAAAGAAUGGCCUAAAUUUGCUCAGAUCUUUGUUUGGUUACUUUAUCUUUUUGCAAGAUAAUCGAUUUACUUGUAUAUAGAAGUGUUUACAGUUUGGCUCCAAAUCGAAAAUCAAAUUGAUCCAAACAAGGUAAGAUAACUUGGUUUGGUUUUGCAAAUGGCAAAAAUUAAAAAAGUCGCUGACUAAAAUUUUCUAAUAAUGAUCAAAUUUGAUUACAUAUUAACAUAUUUUUCAAAAUUCUAUAUUUACGAUUAAAUUUUUUUGUGCGUAACGUUCAUAACGAUUCAAUUUUGAUUCUUUAAAUUACAAAUUAACUUGUAAAAGAUAGAAAAUCAAAAAAUCUAACUGUUUUAAAUCGAAUUUUGAUUCUUAAACUUCCGGUUUGGUUUCGAUCAGUUUUAAGGAUAAAUCAGCCCGGCUCGGUUGCAAAUUUGUUCAAGCCGAAAAGUUCAAUUUGGUGGUUUAAAAAUCGCGUAAAAACUGAACCAAAUUGAACCAAACCGAACCAUUUACAACCCUAGAUGUAUACCUCUGUAAUAUUUCACUUUUCAUUACAUGCAAAUCCAUUGAAAGUUUAAGAUUAUUUUGCAAGGAUUUGUAUAUAUGAGUAUUGAUAUUGAGGACCCUACAUGUAUACCCGUACUUUUUUAAAAAAAUCUUUAUUUUGCGCAUUCAAAAUUUAAAAUUGUAGCACUUAAAUCUUACAUUAUUACUAUUUUGUCAUCGUUCCGUGCAUAUAUUGCAUGAUACAACUGGAUAACUACAAAUAUAUCCAAUUUAUCUCAUAAAUGAGAACAAACGAAAAAAAAUAAUUAGUAUCACUUUCAUAAAGUUAUUAAAUUUGAGAAAAAGUAAAAAUUUCUUGUGCACUCUCACUACUUGUAAUUAAAGGUAUCAUAGGUAUCCUGAGUAAUUCAUUUGCCUAUAUUAGGGAUGCAAACGGAUCCGGAUUGAUGGAGCUCCCACCCCGAUCUGCCCCGAAUGGGACAGUAAACGAGAGAAAAUAAACAAAUUCGGGGCGUAAAAUGAGGCAAUUUUUAUGAUCCUAGAUGGAUUCAAGGUAGAAAAUGGAAAAAAUUUUGACCCGUUUUGAAUCCGCCCUGCCAUGAUCCGCCCGAAUCCACCCCGAAUUCGCUCCGAAAAUUAUUUAUAUUUUAAAAAUAUUUUUUUAAAAAUAAUGUGUUUACAACAAAAAAAAAAAAAAAUUCAAAAUACAAAUAAAUUAAUGCUCUCAUUUCUCAUGUAUUUGAAAUUUUGAAUUUCGCUUCGAAUUGUUAUUGAUAUUUUUUAUUUUUAUAAUUAAUGUUGUUAAUUAUAUAUAUAAUAUUAUUAAAAAUUAUUAAUUUAUAUUUUAUAAAAUAUUAAUAAUAUUAUAAUUUUAUUAAAAAAUAUUAGUUGGCGAGGCGGAAUGGAGGGGCCGGCGAGAGGCGGGUUACAAGGUGGGACGAUUAUGGGAUAUAUUUUUUAAUCCGUCAUGGAUUCGGGGCGGGAGGCAGGGCCAUGGAUUAUUAGUUGUUGCCCCGCCCCUCCCCCCCAGACACCCGUUUACAUCUCUAUGCUAUAUUAUACAAUUUAUGUAAGAAUAGCAACGGAAUAGUAAUGAUACUGAUUAAGUACUAAGUAUCGUUUGGUUCGAGGAUAAGCAAAGUGACUAUUUCAGGAAUAGGUAUAAAUAGGUAUAAGCGGGGAUUAGAUCAAUUUUGCGUUUGGAUAAAAUUGGGUUUAUUCUGGAAAUAAAAAUAAUAGCGUUUGGAUAGAUUAGAUGGAAUAAGAAGAUAUGGUUUUAUAAAUAAAAAUAAUCAUAUAUCCUCUUAUUAUAUUUGAAUUUAAAUUUUAAAUUUUUAAAUAUAUAUAUUUAAAUUUAAAAUUUUAACUUUGAAAUUUUAAUUUGAAACUUAAAAUCUCAAAUUUUAAAUUCAAAAUUUUAAAUUUAAAUUUCAAACUUUAAAUUUAAGAUCAAUUUAAUUUGAAAAAUAAAAAUAUCAAUUUUAAAUUCAAAUUAAAAUAUCAAAUUUAAAUUUAAAUUUAAAAUUAUAAACUUUAAUUUUGAGAUUAUAUAGUAUAAAUUUAAAAAUUUACAUUUUAUUUUUCAUUUUUAAAAUAAGAAUAGGGUGGGAACAAUUAAUAAAAAAUAAUUAUUAUAAUAAAUGUAUAAAUUUUUUUAAAAUUCUACUUAAACUUAAAUUUAAUAAAAAGAAUUUAUUAUAAUAUUAAAUAAUAUCUAUAAAUUUAUUAUAAUAUUUAAAUAUAAAUAAUAAUUAUUAAUAUAGUACAAUAAUAAUUUUAUAAUAAAAUACUGUAUAUAAUAUAUAAAUUUUAAAAAAUUAAAUUUAAUUUUAAAUUUUUAAAUAAAAUAGGGUGGUAACAAUUAAUAAAAACUAUUUAUUAUAAUAAAUUUAUAAAUUUUUUAAAAAUUCUAAUUAAACUUAAAUUUAAUAAAAAAUUUAUUAUAAUAUUUAAAUAUAAUUUAUUAUAAAUUUUAUUAUAAUAUUUAAAUAUAAAUAAUAUGUAUUAAUAUAGUACUAUUAAUAAUUUUAUAAUAAAAAUAAUGUAUUAUAAUAUAUAAUAUAUUAUAUUUAUAUAAUUUAGUUUUAAUUCAAUUCAUAAUUUUAAUUAAGUUUGAAAUUAAGCAUGGGAAUAGUGCUAUUCCACCAAAAUGGUGGAAUAGCAAAUUUCUUACUAUUCCGGGAUAAUCGGGAAUAGCAAGGUUUGACCGCGAUAAAAUAUUCCAGCCAAAUUUCAUCCCGUUUGGCGGAAUAGCGGGGAUAACUUUUGUUAUCCCCGCUUAUCCCGGGGCCAAAAAAUUUUAAAUUUUUUUAGGAGAACAUUAAUAAUAGAUAUUUUUAAAAGAUUAAGACAAAUUAUAAAAAAUUUCUGUAUUUUAAUCCACUUAAUUCCACUUCUAUCGACUUCCAAUUAUUAAUAAAUCCAAACUAGAAGAUGAAAACUUAGAAGAAAAAAAAAAAGAAAAAGAAAAGAAAGAAAAAAAGAAGAAAGGGUUUUAUGAUCAUUACCUGCAUUAAUUCCACCAAAAUCCUCUGUGACGACCAGAUCAGGGGAUGCGUCGAAAUCGCUGUGCCCAAUCGCGGAAAGCAAAAUGCUUUCCUGUAAAACAUCCAUUCAUACCAAUAAUUUAGAAGAGGACAAUAGGGAGGCGCGUUCAAUUAAUGGACUAAUCCUAACCCAACAUAAAAAUUUAAAAGAUUCAAUUAUUUGUAUCUCCAUCAAGAUUAGGACUAUCAGCGAACCGAACACGAGCGAGCUGGAGCUAGCUCGUAGUUCGACUCAUUUAACAAACGAAUCGAACACGAGUUGGCUCGCAACUCGUAUUCGGUUUAUUUAUUAACGAGUCGAAAACGAGCUCGCUCAUAAAUAAAAAGUUCAAUUAUCUCCCUACUACUACUACUAAAUAAAAAGUUAAAAAAAAAUUAAAAAAUUAGAAUCUUAAUUUAAUAAUUAAAAUUUAUAAAAUAUUUUUUCCUUUUUUUUUUUUUUUUUUACCAUUUGGGUUAGCCUAAAGUCGAACUAGUAGAAAUUUGUACUAUACAUAUACAUAGAUAUUCAUGGUACAAAGUGCACGGCUAAAAAUAAAAUUUCUACAAAAAAUUAUGAUGUAGUAUUACAAUUUUCAAUUAGAAAUAUUAAUCUUACUAUAAAUUGUAUAAAAAUUUUUCUAUCAAAAUUUUAUUUUAUUUAAAUACUUUUACACUGUUAAAUAUAUAAACGACACAUAUCAAUUAUAAAAAUUAUUGAUUUUGAAUCCUUACGGUCAAAAUUAUAUCAAAAAAUUAUAGAAUUUAUUUUUAGGUACUUUAAAUACGUUAAAUCAAGUUUAAAGAGGUCAAUAGCCGAUUCGGAAGUUCUAUCAUAAAAAACGAUAUAGAAGUGUAUAGAAGUCUCCAUCCUCUUAAUAGCUAAUCCUACUCUCUCUCUCUCUCUCUCUCUCUCUCUCUCUCUCUCUCUCUCUCUCUAUAUAUAUAUAUAUAGAGUGAGGCUGAAGCACGGAGCCUUUCGUGCUUUCAGUUCGUUUUCGAUAUUGUGACUUUCGAAUCGUCGAUAGGUUCCGUUAAACUUGAUCUAGAGUAUUUGAAGUAUCGAAAAAAUAAAUUUUAUAAUUUUUUGAUAUUAUUUGUCUAGUGAUCAAAGAGAUUCAAAAUCAAUAAUUUUAAUGACUGUAGUGAGCCGUUUGCAAGUUUAAUAGUGUGGAAAUAUUCAAAUCACGAGAAAUUUUGAUAGAAAAUUCUUUAUACUAUAUAAAACAAGAUCAAUAUCUUUGAUCUAAAAUUUUAAUGUCAUAUUAUCAUGUUUUGUAAGAUUUUUAUUUUCAGCCGUUGAUUUUGAGCCUCUUCGUUCACUAGGCAAAUAAUAUCGAAAAAUCGGAUAAUUUAUUUUCUAGGUACUUCAAAUACUCUAAAUCAAGUUUAACGGAGCCGAUUGACAAUUCGAAAGCCCUAAUAUCGAAAAAACGACCUGGAAGCACGGAAGGCUUCGUACUUCCAGAAGCAUAGUAGCCUCACUCAUAUAUAUAUAUAUAUAUAUAUAUAUNUAUAUAUAUAUAUAUAUAUAUAUAUAGUCCAGCUAUUAUACUCUUAUAAGUAGUCUCCGUAAUACUCAUAAAUUUUCAGCUGUUAGAUCUACCUCUUUAAUCAUUUUCACCCGUUAGAUCAUACCAUUCAACUAAUCACCUACUCAACCUUAGAGAAUCAUUAUUAUUCUAACUAGAAAUUACUAUUAUCUUAAUAGCACAUCCUUCAUUUGGCAGACGAAAAUUUAUAAGUAUAAAGCAAUAUAUACUUAUAAGAAUAUAAUACCCCUACUCUAUAUAUAU